GGUAGAAUGUAAAAAUGGAGGCUAGGUCUUCCAUGGCAUGGCUGAGUUGAUACACCAGGCCUGGAACUACCAACGCAGUGGGCAGGGCCACCAUUUACACUAUUCACACCAUGGUCUAUUGGAAGUACCCCAGGAGUCAUGCAGUGUGGCCUCUUGUCAACUGAUAAAGGCUGAUAGCUUCAGAAAAGGGUCUAGAGAUCUUGAGGACUUGGAAAAGUAGGUCAAUAGGACCUGGAAAGACAAAGAGACGACACUUGAUGCUUCUCUAUUCCCAGGAUGCCUUUCCCAGGAAACGUUUGCCACCUCUACGCCUAUGCUUUUCCUCCACUGGCUACCUGCAGGUUCUUCAGCUCAGUCAGCAGGAACUCAAGCUGAUCUCCUCCACCACCCCUCACUCCAACCUCCUUUGCCCAGAACUUGCGGUCCUCACUGGUGAUUCUCUUGGAGUCUCCAACACUGGGCUCUGGGGGGGUACCUCCAAUCCACCCUUCCACAUGGAAAAGGGAAGCUAAAUCUUCCUUGUCUUUGGAUCCACGGCUUCAUGUCUGGCAGUGAAAGCCAACCGUAACAUCUCCAGUUAGAAAUAGAUGUUUUGAAAUCCCUCAUUGGCCAAACACUAAUGUAGAAGGGGUACCAAGAGACAGCUAAGCGGAGAUGCCUCCUGCUGGCUCCCUCCCAGAGGGCGAAUGGUCACAUCCAGCACAGACCUCGCUCCCCAGCUGCUGAUCCUCCUUUCCUGCUUCCCAGUGACAUUUCCAGGGGCACCUCCAAUCCCACCUGUCCAAAGCAGGUUUGGUUCACACGGUCUGGGAGGCUGCCUACACCAAAGCUCACCACCGGACUACCCCCUGCCUCUCCGCCCUUCCCCUGCCCAGGAUGCUCACGUCCUGGCCUCGCUGCAUGGAACAUGCUUCUUCCCUCCGAGUCUGGCUCCUAUUGCUCACUCUCGCUGGCCCUCAGGUCACCUGGUUGCAUUGUUAGAAAUAGAGAAUUCUUGGGACCCACCAUGGACCUCCUGAAUCAGAAUCUUGGGGGGAAAAUCCUGGAGUCGUACAUUUUUAUGAAGCUCCCCGAGUGAUUAUGAUGCCUUCUCAACUUAAGAAGGAAAAAAAAAAACCAAGAAGCUGUAAUCUCAACGUGUUACUAGCAAUAGUUGGCAGGAUUUAGUGAUUGUCUGGAUACGGAAUGUGAAGGAGAGGGAAGAAAGCAAAUCCUUCCAGACGGAAUGCGAAGCUGAGAGAUCGGCAUCAGGGGAAUGAACCACAUGCAGGAGCUGAUUUUCCUGAGUGAGCUCAUUAAUUCAUUUGCUACACCUGCAUUUUAACACGUCACGGAGACCCCAGUAGGAAAUAAAUAAAAACAUUGCCGAGGUA